GCACGGCCCAGCUCAGCCAGGUGGCUGGAAGGGCGGGGCGUUAGAGAAGAAUUUAUUGAAGCAUAUUACGUAUUCAUACUCAGGACAGCGUUCCUGUGAGAGGGAGGCUUUCACUUUUUAUUUUGUACUUUUCCAAAUGGAUUGAAAGUUUCUAAUCUUACCCAUGUGCUACUGAAUAUAUUAACAGAGAUUAUUAAGAUUUGGUCCUAUCACUUUUUGCUUUAAAACCCAUACUGCCUUUGCCAUUUGCCUGUGAUGCAACACUCCAGCCACCUGUGUUUUCUGGGCAACAAACACAUCACAAACCAUACCUUGGCUCAUACAACCCACUCUUCCGGGAGUGUCUGCUCCUGUGAAACUAGUGAAAUCCUAUUUGUCCUUCCAGCUCCACUCAAAUAAAUUCUUCUGUUGUACCUUCACAAAGCUCCCCACUUCUCUUGGGCAGAAUUAUUUCAUUCCUCAAGCAGACUCCAUAGAACUUAAUAUACAACACCUAUUAUAACUUUAUAAGAUUAUCCUUAAAACUGAUUUAUGUAUGUGUUGUUCUCCCCCAGACUCUUAGUACCUGGAUAAUGGGGACUACGUCACUCGUUUUUGCCUUGCUAGUUUCUGCCACGAGGCUUUGCACUUACUGGCUGCCUUACAAAGGCUUCCUGAAUGAAAGUAUUGAAAUGAAGUUUAGUGGCUUUAGAAGUUAGAGCUCUUAAUUGCAAUUAAUAGAAGCUGACUAUGGAUGACAUAAAGAGGAAUUUAUUUAACAAGAGGAUAUUGGAGAAGUCUCAGAAUCGAUAGGAAGGAUGAAGAACCAUGCUCGGAAAAGAGGCAGAAACAAAAGGAGAUGGGGCACAUGUCACAGUUGCCAAAAUCACUCCACACAGAAGCUCGUCGUGGACUCUGUCAUCAUUGCUGCCGAAGGCUGGGAUCCGUAACUCACUGCACCCCCACCCGGACCCCACACAUAGGGAUGCCUCCAUGGCACAACUGCCAUUGCCGUCUCUGGAGAUCAUGUUGCUUAAAACUUUGCCGUUCCUGAAGAAUUCUCCACUGUCUCUGCUUUUUGUGCCGCUUUCUCUUGUUUCAAAGUCUAGGACAGGUGCUUCUCAUUGGCAGAGCUUAGAUAACAGAUUUGUGCCCAUUGUCAGGGGAGCUGAGAAAGUGGACCACUACUGAAAAAUAGAAAGAAUAUUCAUAGACUGUAUAACCCCCACUCCCACACAUACACACCUAUGUAUAUAGCAAAUGUCCACCCAGUUUAUCCCUUCAGGUGGAUAAUAUUAACAUGCACUUUUCUUCUCAUACUUACCCUUAAAAAAAUAUUUUUGUCUAAUUUAAUGCAAUUUAUUUACCACAUAACCAAAACCUCACUUACUUUAUCCCCUAAGGAAAACCUAAAAUUGAAUCUUUUUCUAUUUAGCUCAAAGUCAAAUUUCUCUCUGGCUUUGUUAUUGUCUUUCUCCAAUAUCAUGUAACUUAUGGAUUAAACUAUAAAGUAACCAUCAAAAGCCCAUCCUUCAAAAAAUGUUGUUCAACAAAGAAAAGACGUAAGAGAAAACAGGGUUAAAUGUCAGUUUUUACUUCUGCAACUGUCACAAAGCUGUUACUGGAAUAUAUGAUUUCUAUUUUUUCCAUGAUCCUUUCUCUUCAGCCAAUAUAUCCCCUGACCAAAGUUCCUUAUCCAUUGAGGUGACCCAAAGGGCCAUACUGAAAGAAGCAGGGCAUCAGAUGGAUCUGGCUGUAUUAAGUGACCGUACUUUCCUUGUAAUUUUGCCCCAGGACAUGGAAGUCCUAGGAAGUACUCAGGAAAUCUUUAGGUUCUGUCCUUACUUCUUUCUAGCUAUACCAUAUAGCAAAACCCAACUUCCCUGUAUGGUCAGGAUCGGCUACUCUGCACAACCAUAUGGUUGUUCACCCAGCGCUCCUAGGAGUCUCACCAUCCAGUUCAGCUGGGACAACUCUUACUACCCCCGAUAUGUGUAAGUUCUCUUGGGCCCUGAAACUUUUAAUCACAAGAUUUAAGCUCUACAAUAAUGUGCAUCUAUUCUCAUUACAUUCAGGAGACAACAGAUGUUCAGCAACACAGAAUUCCAGAAUCAGCACCAGCAGCAGUGCCAGACUUGGAGACAAAGAGCAACAUUUUUGUGAGUGGGUAAUAAAUAUAGUAGGAGAUGCUGUUCCUACCUACCUCCUUUAUCCUCACAUCAUAUAUUCUGGCUACGGGAGAAACAGGACAAAUACUGAACUCCAAUUUAGAGGAUAGCAGUAAUUGAUCACAUACAAGCUGAUUUUAGAGGACUGGCUGUGCUGUUGAUGACAAGAAUUAUUAAAUCGAUGAAUUCAGUGUGAUAUCAUCCAGCCACAUUCGGGAGACACAGACACCGAAGGAAAUUUAGUGCAGCGGAAAGGAAAAUUAAGUAACCCAGGAUUCAGCAAACCACAGGUUUUCAGCCCGUCUGUUUAAAGAGCUGCCUGGUGUCGGAGAUGGAGUGCUUCCUUCUGAGCAAGAAAUUUGACCAUGAGACUAAGGAACAGAACCACCAAACCAGCCGGCGCUUCAUACCAGGAGGGAGAAGAGCAGAGAAGAGAUGGGGAGGAGUGACUCUAGGUGAAAAGCGACAUUUGUGAAGUCCCAGCAUCUCGGUGUGAGAGGCCUGAUAAAAUAUGGACCGUGUAUUAUUGAGCUCAGCCGUACUCUUGAUGUCUGAAAGAGGGAAAACAGUGUGCUCAAAUACUCUCGGGUUAGAGAAAACAGACUUCUCUUUCAUCAAGACGAGAGGAUUCCAAAGCCUGAUCAACAGAUUAUAGACCAAAAACAACCAGAUCCUGUCACCCCAGGCAGGGGCCCAAGCCAGACCCACCUCUCUCUGGGACCUCAGACCUAGAAAACAUGAUCAGAUGGGUGACGAUAUCCAAGGAGAUAUCCUCUCUGUUUCUCCUGUAUAACUCUAGGCCGGCUCUUCGGAGUCCGGUUUUAAAGUCUAUCUCCUUCCUAUUUUUUAGGGUAAAGUAUAGGCAGCAUCAUUAUUCCUGUUAUCAACAAUGAAAAGCUUAUAAAUCCCUAGCCUCUGAUAGGAAAUCGAUGUCAAAACAAAAAUUAACUCAUGAGAUACAUGUCUACAUAUUUUCCAUACUUGACACAGAUUUAUGAUGGAAUUUUAAACUGAGAAAAUCUUUUAAACUUAUUGAAUUGAUGUUCCUCAUCUGCAUUUAACUUUCUGAAGCAAUGUAAAUUUUUUGUAAACUCUAAUGAAGUUAAUAUCAGCCUUUUUUAAAAAAAUGAAAACACCAUAAAGCGCCAUGAGUUUGUUUUAAUUCCAUAUGUCACUUAGCUUCUAUUUCUGAAGAAAUACAUGUCAAUUCACAGGAUAAUUUUCUUAAAAAAUAGAAAUUAACCUCAAUUGUUGAAAUUAUAUCUUUCAAAAGGUAUGAGAUAAUUUAAAGUAUGUGUAGCGAAAGAACAUCUUGUCAACUACCUAUAACUCCUUAUAAGCAUAACAUUAAUGAUUUAAUAAUAAAGCUCUUCCCCACUAGAGAGAGGAGAAUAGAAUACAGAUAUUGGAAAGAAAAAUUAAUGCAUAUUAUAGAGCCUAAUAUUUCCAUUUGUUACC